AUCCCGGAGAUGGCCGUGAAACUUGAAUCGGCGAUGAUCUGAGCGAAAAACUUCAUGGUCAGACCUUGAAUCUUCUAGUAGCAGGUGUACAAGAGCACGUGGAGGUGAGUACAGUCCACCUAGGGCUUGGGGAUGCCAUGGAUUCAGGUGCAACAUGGUGGAAGCCGGUGGGAGAAGGCUAAGGUUUUGGAGUGGCUAGAGAAAGUUUGAGAGGACGAGGGUUUGAG
rnacentral:lncRNA from 1 species